GAGUUUGAUCCUGGCUCAGGAUGAACGCUGGCGGCGCGCCUAACACAUGCAAGUCGAACGGCACCCCUCUCCGGAGGGAAGCGAGUGGCGAACGGCUGAGUAACACGUGGAGAACCUGCCCCCUCCCCCGGGAUAGCCGCCCGAAAGGACGGGUAAUACCGGAUACCCCGGGGCGCCGCAUGGCACCCCGGCUAAAGCCCCGACGGGAGGGGAUGGCUCCGCGGCCCAUCAGGUAGACGGCGGGGUGACGGCCCACCGUGCCGACAACGGGUAGCCGGGUUGAGAGACCGACCGGCCACAUUGGGACUGAGACACGGCCCAGACUCCUACGGGAGGCAGCAGUGGGGGAUAUUGCACAAUGGGGGAAACCCUGAUGCAGCGACGCCGCGUGGAGGAAGAAGGUUUUCGGAUUGUAAACUCCUGUCGUUAGGGACGAUAAUGACGGUACCUAACAAGAAAGCACCGGCUAACUACGUGCCAGCCGCCGCGGUAAUAC
rnacentral:rRNA from 1 species